UGGGGAAUAUUGGACAAUGGGCGCAAGCCUGAUCCAGCCAUGCCGCGUGAGUGAUGAAGGCCCUAGGGUUGUAAAGCUCUUUCACCGGUGAAGAUAAUGACGGUAACCGGAGAAGAAGACCCGGCUAACUUCGUGCCAGCAGCCGCGGUAAUACGAUGGGGGCUAGCGUUGUUAGUAUUUACUGGGCGUAAAGCGCACGUAGGCGGACUUUUAAGUCAGGGGUGAAAUCCCGGGGGUCAACCCCGGAACUGCCUUUGAUACUGGAAGUAGUGAGUAUGGUAGAGGUGAGUGGAAUUCCGAGUGUAGAGGUGAAAUUCGUAGAUAUUCGGAGGAACACCAGUGGCGAAGGCGGCUCACUGUACCAUUACUGACGCUGAGGUGCGAAAGCGUGGGGAGCAAACAGG
rnacentral:rRNA from 1 species